UUCGCCCUUUUCCGGUUGAUCCUGCCGGACCUGACUGCUAUCGGAUUGAUACUAAGCCAUGCGAGUCAUUGUAGCAAUACAAGGCAGACGGCUCAGUAACGCGUAGUCAACCUACCCUAUGGACGGGAAUAACCUCGGGAAACUGAGUAUAAUGCCCGAUAGAACACUAUACCUGGAAUGGUUUGUGUUUCAAAUGAUUUAUUGCCGUAGGAUGGGACUGCGGCCUAUCAGUUUGUUGGUGAGGUAAUGGCCCACCAAGACUAUUACAGGUACGGGCUCUGAGAGGAGUGGCCCGGAGAUGGGUACUGAGACACGGACCCAGGCCCUAUGGGGCGCAGCAGGCGAGAAAACUUUGCAAUGUGCGAAAGCACGACAAGGUUAAUCCGAGUGGUUUCUGGCUAAAGGA
rnacentral:rRNA from 1 species